rnacentral:lncRNA from 1 species
UGGAGGACGUAGCACACAGGGGGUGGUGCUGCCCUGUGUGGGUGGUCCUGAGUGGUCUAAGAAACCGGGCUGAGCAGAGCCACGGGGAGCGCGUCAGUAAGCAGUGUUUCCCAUAGCUACUAUUUUGAUUCUUGUCUCCAGGUUCUUGUUCUGACUUCCCUGGAUGAUAGACUACAAGCUGUAAGCUGAAAUAAACCUUUCCACCAACCAGAGGGUUUUGGACGUAGUGUUUUAUCACAGCAAUAGAAACCUAAGAUGCCCUGUUAGAGUGAACAUUAACUAUGUUGCUGUGUUUGCACUAGCAGGAGCCACCCAGUGGCCCUCUUUGGUAUCUCCAGGACAGCGACAGCUGCUCCUGCUGCAAUGGGCAGGGUGGGCAGCUAUAAAAUAACUCCUGGCUGCUUACACUCAGGGAGGAAGAACUAGGAAAGAGGAGACCAGCACCAGAGAAAGCCACAACCUGAUCCCCAGCUCAGGCUCUGCUCUACUUUGUGAACACUCAGGCUGCUCAGGGCUGCCUUUCAAUGUCUCCCUGAAAAAAACAAUUAGGCAGUGGAGACGUGUUUGCGCAAGCUUUCUUUGCAACUCAUAAACCCAUAAACGACGUCAUUUCACGGCUUUAACUCACUGAGUGCGUCCUUCUGAGAGGAUAAGCUCUGUGCUUAACUUUAUGAGGUUAUUAAUCCUUACCAGUGCCAGGAACACUAGAUAAUGCCUGAUCUGGUAUGGCCGAUGGAGCUGGCCUUGGGAGCCCCAGAGCUAAGCACGUGGCUCUGUACUCUGUGUCAGGAAGCAUGAGCAAAACACUACUGGCUGGUUUUUUAAAAUGAAAAACAUGUAUUAGAUUUUAGGUGAGAUAUUUCUAUUUAUCUCAUAUAAUAUAUAUGUAUACAUCUUAUCCUGUGUAUAUGUAUAUAUACAUGUGUGUAUAUAGCCUAUAUAUGAUAAUAUGUAUAAUAUAUAUAAUAGAAAAAUCUCUGUCUCUGACUCUCUCUCUGUCUCUCUCUCUCUGUCUCUGUCUCUCUCUCUGUCUCUCUGUCUCUCUCUCUCUCUCUCUCUCCCUCUCUCUCUCUCUCUCUCACACACACACACACACCAAUCAGAGGAUGCUCAUCUAUUAGAGCCCUUAUUCUGUGCUGGAGUUCUUUCUAAUUUUUCCUUCAUAAAUAUAUAUUUGCUCUGCUAUACACAGACACACACACACAGAGAGAACAGUUAGAAAACAAAUUAAAAAUGCAUAUAAUAUAAAUGGGUUGUUGUAUAUGUAGUCAUCUGCAAAUAUAUCUUUGUUCUCAAUAUUGCCUUUUUUCUUUUGAGAUUGGGUCUCACUAUGUAGUCCUGGCUGGCCUGGAACUUUCUACAUAGACCAGGCUGUCCUCUAUCUCACAGGGUUCCACGUGCCUCUGCUCAUUGAGUGCUGGGAUUGAGGUGUAUGCCACCACACCUGGCCUCUCAAUAUUGCUUUAAUGCUUCAUUUUAAGAUGUGAGAAAGCCAUUUGUGGUGGCACAUGCCUUUAAUGCCAGCUUUAGGGGGCAGAGUCAGACAGAUCUCUGUGAGUUCAAGGCCAGCCAGUUCAAGAUAGUUCUAGGAUACCAAGGAUUUCAUAGAGAGACCCUGUCUCAAAACAGACAAAAUCAACAUUAAAGGUUAGUAAGAUAGCUUGGCGGUUAGAGGUACUUGCCACCAAGGCUGAUCCCUGCGGUCCACACAUGGUGGUAGAGGAUAAUUGACUCUCCCGAGCUGUCAUCGGAUCUUCACAUGGUAAGCUAUGGUAUUUGCACCCCAAACAUAUAAACAAACACAUAUAACUUUAAAAAGGAGAUGCUGAAGGCUGGGUGUAUAUAUAGUGCUACCAUAACACUUGGGACAUAGGGGGACCAGUAGUUCAGGAUCAGUCUUGUCUAUAUAAUAUGUUUGAGGCUAGCCUGAGCUAUAUGAAACCUGACCCAAAGCUACAUCAAGAGCCAGCAAGAUGCCUGGGUGGGUAAAGAUGCUUGCCACCAAGCCUGAUGACCCGUGUUUGAUUUCCAGGGACCAAAUGAUUGAAAGAGAGCAUUGACUCUCACAAGUUGUCCUCUGAUCUCCACACACAAACAAUGAUAGGCAGUCCAGUAGAUAUAACAAAAAUUAAACAACAAACAAAAGAAAAUGAAAUACAUUGAUGAUUUUAUUCUACCAUCUUUAAAUCUUUCCUCCUCCUCCUCUCCUCCUCCUCCUCCUCCUCCUUCUUCUUCUUCUUCUUCUUCUUCUUCUUCUCUCCCAUUUCCCCUUCCCCUUCUUCCCCUUCCUUUCCCCUUCUUCCCUUUCCCCUUCCCCUUCUUCCUCCUCUUCCUCUUCUUCUUCUCCUCCUCCUUCUUUUCCUUCUUUUUAUUAUUAUUCUACAAUCUUGCACUCAACCCAAAUAUUUUUUACUGUGGUCACAAAAUGGCCAGAGAGAGACAUAAGCUGUAACUAUCUGUGUUUCUCGCAUGAUCUCAGUAUCUAGAGGAGCUUGUAUUGAAACCACCACCUUCCCAUUGAUAAAAGCCUCUUAGGAUACUUCCAUGAGCUCUGUGAUAACUGUGAACUGUCAACUUCACACAGACUAGAAUCAUUUGAGAGAAGAGCCCCAAUGAGGGGAUCAUCCACCUUGGAUUGACCUGUGGGUAUAUCUGUAAGAGAUUGUCUUUAAUUUAAUUAAUGUGGGAAGAUUCAGCCCACCUAGGGGUGGCACCAUUCCCUAGGCAGGGGGUCCUGAACUGUGCAGAAAUCAAGCAAGCUGAGUACAACCAAGCAAGGACUGUUAUACCUACAUCAAUUCUCUCUGGUCUUGACUGUGGAUGUGAUGUCACUAGCUGCUUCAGGAUCCUGCCUUGACGUCUCCACAGCGAUGGACUGUGACAUGAGCUUGUUAGGCAUCAAACUACUUUCUCGACUAAGUUUCUUUUUCCCCUGGGAAAUUUUAUCACAGAAAUAGAAAUGAAACUAGAGUAAGCAGCUUGCCAACCCUGCCCAGUACAAAGAGCAAUCUCCCUCUUUCAGUGAGACCACCAUGUCCAGUUUCCCCAGCACAAUGAAGGAAUGCUCCUUCAACAGCUCAGGGACUUCACCAACAUCCUUGACCAAAUGAUGCUGUACCCCUUCCCAAGCUCCUGAAAGAGUUUUCCACAACAAGCCUCAUUCCCAUUUGUACAGCUCUGGCAAAGCUUACCAGGGACUCCAUUUCAUCUACCAGUGCCACUGUAGGAAUUAAAAGUUUUUAAUGCUUAGUUAAGUAGUGUAUGUGCAUGUGUGUGCACAUGUGUGUGUGCACAUGUCUGUGCACAUGUUGUAUGUGCACAUGUGUGUGUACACAUGUAUGUAUGUGAAGCUCAGAGAGCAAUGUCAACUGUUCUCCCUCAGGUACUGUCCAUAUUUUCGUUUUUAUUCCUCAUUGUGUGUGUGUGUGUUUGCACGUGUGUCAGUGCAUGUGGGAAGGUACCUAUGCACUUGUGUGGAGGCAAUCCAAGGUUGAUGUCUAGAUUCACCUGCAAUAGCUCUUCUACCUUAUUCAAUGAGUCAGGGUAUCUCAAUCAUACCCAGAGUUCACUGAUAUCGCUAAUCUUGCUCUCUGACUUGCUCUAGGAACCCCUUGUCUCUGCCUUUCAGGGUUGGAACUACAGGUGCCUUGUUUUUUUGAGGCAGGUCCCUCAUUGAACCUGGAGCUUGCCAAGCAGGCUGGGCUGGCUGGCCAGCGGGCCCGAAGGAUCCACCCAUCUCUACCUCCCCAAGUCUGGAGUUACAAGUGUGCACUAUAGUACCUGGUUUAUUUCAUGUGUUCUGAGGGUUAAACUCUGGUCCUUGUGCUUGUACUUUGCCCACUGAUCAAUCUCCCUAGACCUUACUGUUAGCAUAUUGAUUAGCAGAAACCAUAAUCACCCUAGGAUUCCCAUCUGUGGUAUAUUGUGUUACUUAUCAGAAAUAUUUACUUUCACUCCCUGCCUCGUUGAUAUCAGACUUGGCUUAUGACUUCCCUUGCUUCUCCCUGC